rnacentral:rRNA from 1 species
CACGUAGGCGGGCUGCUUAGUCGGUAGUGAAAGCCCUCAGCUCAACUGAGGAAUUGCUCCCGAAACUGGUAGCCUUGAGGACAAGAGGGGAGAGUGGAACUUCUGGUGGAGCGGUGAAAUGCGUAGAUAUCAGAAGGAACACCGGUGGCGAAAGCGACUCUCUGGCUUGUUUCUGACGCUGAGGUGCGAAAGCGUGGGUAGCAAACA